CCUACGGGAGACAGCAGUGAGGAAUAUUGGUCAAUGGACGCAAGUCUGAACCAGCCAUGCCGCGUGCAGGAAGACGGCUCUAUGAGUUGUAAACUGCUUUUGUACGAGGGUAAACUCAGAUACGCGUAUCUGUCUGAAAGUAUCGUACGAAUAAGGAUCGGCUAACUCCGUGCCAGCAGCCGCGGUAAUACGGAGGAUUCAAGCGUUAUCCGGAUUUAUUGGGUUUAAAGGGUGCGUAGGCGGUCGGAUAAGUUAGAGGUGAAAUCCCGAGGCUCAACUUCGGAAUUGCCUCUGAUACUGUUAGGCUAGAGAGUAGGUGCGGUAGGCGGAAUGUAUGGUGUAGCGGUGAAAUGCUUAGAGAUCAUACAGAACACCGAUUGCGAAGGCAGCUUACCAAGCUACGUCUGACGUUGAGGCACGAAAGCGUGGGGAGCAAACAGGAUUAGAUACCCCAGUAGUC
rnacentral:rRNA from 1 species